UACGUAGGGGGCUAGCGUUGUCCGGAAUCAUUGGGCGUAAAGAGCGUGUAGGCGGCCCGGUAAGUCCGCUGUGAAAGUCGGGGGCUCAACCCUCGAAUGCCGGUGGAUACUGUCGGGCUAGAGUGCGGAAGAGGCGAGUGGAAUUCCUGGUGUAGCGGUGAAAUGCGCAGAUAUCAGGAGGAACACCGGUGGCGAAGGCGGGUCUCUGGGACGGUACUGACGCUGAGACGCGAAAGCGUGGGGAGCGAACAGG
rnacentral:rRNA from 1 species